rnacentral:rRNA from 1 species
GAUCAUGGCUCAGAUUGAACGCUGGCGGCAUGCUUUACACAUGCAAGUCGAACGGUAACAGGGAGCUUGCUCCGCUGACGAGUGGCGAACGGGUGAGUAAUGCAUCGGAACGUACCCAGUCGUGGGGGAUAACGUAGCGAAAGUUACGCUAAUACCGCAUACGUCCUGAGGGAGAAAGCGGGGGACCGUAAGGCCUCGCGCGAUUGGAGCGGCCGAUGUCGGAUUAGCUAGUUGGUAGGGUAAAGGCCUACCAAGGCGACGAUCCGUAGCGGGUCUGAGAGGAUGAUCCGCCACACUGGGACUGAGACACGGCCCAGACUCCUACGGGAGGCAGCAGUGGGGAAUUUUGGACAAUGGGCGAAAGCCUGAUCCAGCCAUGCCGCGUGAGUGAAGAAGGCCUUCGGGUUGUAAAGCUCUUUCAGCCGGAAAGAAAUCGCGCAGGAUAAUACUCUGCGUGGAUGACGGUACCGGAAGAAGAAGCACCGGCUAACUACGUG